rnacentral:rRNA from 1 species
GGUUAAGCGACUAAGCGUACACGGUGGAUGCCCUGGCAGUCAGAGGCGAUGAAGGACGUGCUAAUCUGCGAUAAGCGUCGGUAAGGUGAUAUGAACCGUUAUAACCGGCGAUUUCCGAAUGGGGAAACCCAGUGUGUUUCGACACACUAUCAUUAACUGAAUCCAUAGGUUAAUGAGGCGAACCGGGGGAACUGAAACAUCUAAGUACCCCGAGGAAAAGAAAUCAACCGAGAUUCCCCCAGUAGCGGCGAGCGAACGGGGAGCAGCCCAGAGCCUGAAUCAGUGUGUGUGUUAGUGGAAGCGUCUGGAAAGGCGCGCGAUACAGGGUGACAGCCCCGUACACAAAAAUGCACAUGCUGUGAGCUCGAUGAGUAGGGCGGGACACGUGGUAUCCUGUCUGAAUAUGGGGGGACCAUCCUCCAAGGCUAAAUACUCCUGACUGACCGAUAGUGAACCAGUACCGUGAGGGAAAGGCGAAAAGAACCCCGGCGAGGGGAGUGAAAAAGAACCUGAAACCGUGUACGUACAAGCAGUGGGAGCACGCUUAGGCGUGUGACUGCGUACCUUUUGUAUAAUGGGUCAGCGACUUAUAUUCUGUAGCAAGGUUAACCGAAUAGGGGAGCCGAAGGGAAACCGAGUCUUAACUGGGCGUUAAGUUGCAGGGUAUAGACCCGAAACCCGGUGAUCUAGCCAUGGGCAGGUUGAAGGUUGGGUAACACUAACUGGAGGACCGAACCGACUAAUGUUGAAAAAUUAGCGGAUGACUUGUGGCUGGGGGUGAAAGGCCAAUCAAACCGGGAGAUAGCUGGUUCUCCCCGAAAGCUAUUUAGGUAGCGCCU